GACGAGGGAUCCUAGCGUUGCUCGGAAUCAUUGGGCGUAAAGCGGGUGUAGGUGGCUUGGUAAGUCAGGUGUGAAAGCCUGGGGCUUAACCCCAGAAGUGCAUUUGAAACUGCUGAGCUUGAGUGCCAGAGAGGUUAUUAGAAUACCUGGUGUAGUGGUGAAAUACGUAGAUAUCAGGUGGAACACCGGAGGCGAAGGCGGAUAACUGGCUGGACACUGACACUGAGACCCGAAAGUGCGGGGAUCAAACAGGAUUAGAUACCCUGGUAGUCCGCACUGUAAACGAUGGAUACUUGCCGUUGGAGGUAUUGACCCCUUCAGUGGCGAAGCUAACGCGUUAAGUAUCCCGCCUGGGGAGUACGGUCGCAAGAUUA
rnacentral:rRNA from 1 species